GUGAGGAAUAUUGGUCAAUGGACGAGAGUCUGAACCAGCCAAGUCGCGUGAAGGAAGAAGGAUCUAUGGUUCGUAAACUUCUUUUGCAGGGGAAUAAAGUGCAGGACGUGUCCUGUUUUGUAUGUACCCUGAGAAUAAGGAUCGGCUAACUCCGUGCCAGCAGCCGCGGUAAUACGGAGGAUCCGAGCGUUCUCCGGAUCUAUUGGGUUUAAAGGGUGCGUAGGUGGUUUGAUAAGUCAGCGGUGAUAGUUUGCAGCUUAACUGUAAAAAUGCCGUUGAAACUGUCGGACUUGAGUGUAAAUGAGGUAGGCGGAAUGCGUGGUGUAGCGGUGAAAUGCAUAGAUAUCACGCAGAACUCCGAUUGCGAAGGCAGCUUACUAAGCUACAACUGACACUGAAGCACGAAAGCGUGGGGAUCAAACAGGAUUAGAAACCCUUGUAGUCC
rnacentral:rRNA from 1 species